ACUGAAAGGCAAGCCAGCCUACUGAAAGCAGAAGAGUGGGAAUGGGGAGCCCUUAAGACACCUCUCCCCACUCUCACACCCCCCUUUUUUUUCUUUUCCUAAUCCAGGCCUCUUUGGGGCUGAGGUCUGGGGUAAAUUCACAGCCCCUCACUGGUCACAGGGUUCCGGGGCUCUAUAUGGAAUAAUAUUCAAGGAGGUUCUUGUAAGAGUAUGCCCUGGGCUUCCCAGGAAAUCACAGGGAUACAUUUCAAAAACUGUAUUUAUUUGUUUACUUACUUAUUUUUGUAGUGAUAGAGUUCUAUGCCACUCACACUUACUAGGCUGUGGCCACUCGGCACACUGGAGGCUGGCAGCACACACGUCCCAGCACAAAUGGAAUCCACCAUAAAGCAACUGCCUGUAGCUUGCUCCAUUCCUGCAUUCCGAGACCAGUAAGGCACUGGGAUAUUGUCCCAAACACACUUCAGUCCUCGCUCUUCAGCCAUCUCCUCAUCAUCCCAGCUCCUCCAGGAAGAGGAGGCCUGUGGGAUGUCCCAGUUGGCUCAAGGACUAGCAGAAAAAAAAAAAAAAAAA
rnacentral:lncRNA from 1 species